rnacentral:rRNA from 1 species
UACGUAGGUGGCUAGCGUUGUCCGGAUUUACUGGGCGUAAAGAGCGCGCAGGCGGUCGUUCAAGUCGAGUGUGAAAGCCCCCGGCUCAACUGGGGAGGGUCACUCGAUACUGAUCGACUCGAAGGCAGGAGAGGGAAGCGGAAUUCCCGGUGUAGUGGUGAAAUGCGUAGAGAUCGGGAGGAACACCCGUGGCGAAGGCGGCCAACUGGGAUACACCUGACGCUGAGGCACGAAGGCGUGGGGAGCGAACGGG